UAAUGAUGGUGAUGAUGAUGAUGAUGAUGAUGAUGAUGAUGAUGAUGAUGAUGAUGAUGAUCAUCAUCAUCAUCAUCAUCAUCAUCAUGGUUAGGC
rnacentral:pre_miRNA from 1 species